rnacentral:rRNA from 1 species
GAGUUUGAUCGUGGCUCAGAUUGAACGCUGGCGGCAUGCUUUACACAUGCAAGUCGAGCGGCAGCGCGGGGGCAACCCUGGCGGCGAGCGGCGGAUGGGUGAGUAAUGCAUCGGAACGUAUCCCGUAGUGGGGGACAACCCAGCGAAAGCUGGGCUAAUACCGCAUAUGCUCUACGGAGGAAAGUGGGGGACCGCAAGGCCUCACGCUAUGGGAGCGGCCGAUGUCCGAUUAGCUAGUUGGUGGGGUAAUGGCUUACCAAGGCGACGAUCGGUAGCUGGUCUGAGAGGAUGAUCAGCCACACUGGGACUGAGACACGGCCCAGACUCCUACGGGAGGCAGCAGUGGGGAAUUUUGGACAAUGGGGGCAACCCUGAUCCAGCCAUGCCGCGUGCGGGAAGAAGGCCUCGGUUGUAACG